rnacentral:lncRNA from 1 species
UAUGCAAUCUCAAUAGUAUUCAACAUGAAUGAUGUUUUGUAUAUCAAUAUGUCUGUUAUGCAUUGAUUUGUAAUUUUGAAUCAUGUCGCUUGAUCACACUUAAUUACUUUUUAAUUUUGGAGGAUUAAGCAAAGGGUAUAGUUUUUAUUUUAUCAAUGACUAUACUCAAUUGUUAUAUGAAUGUGUUCUCCAUAUAUCAAAUAACAGAUGUUUAAUGCUUGCACUACUUUUUGUGUGGAUAGCAAGUUUGGCUUGUCUUUUACAUUUAUUACCACGAAUUGGAUUUAUAAAUACAUGAUUUAAUCACUCCAAAACUUUAACUAUGUUUAAGCACAAUCCUUUUUUCCAUUGGCGAAAUACUGUGGACGGGCUCUGAAAAUUGAAAAAUACAACAUGAAGAUAAUAUAAUUAUGCAAUAGAUUUGAAUCCAUGUCUUAAUUUGAAUGAGCGUUUUGAAACUAAACUGUAUGAGCAAAGCAAAAUGCUUUUCGUAUAUGUUGUCCGUAAACCUGAAGAUAAUGAGAUAAGCGUUAAGAAACUGAGGAAAUACUUAUGUUUAAAAGGACUGAAGUAUGACAUUGAUUUUUAAAUGACUUUUUCAAGGACUUUUUCCUGUCUGAUUAAGGUAAGUAGUUCAUGAAAGACACAAUUUAAAUGAAAGAUGUAUUACAAUGUAGUUCACCUGAUAGUAAUGAAUAUGUGAAACUUCCGAAAGUAAUAGGAACUCAGAUGUGGUA